rnacentral:rRNA from 1 species
GAUAAGGUUAAGUGAAUAAGGGCGCACGGUGGAUGCCUUGGCACUAGGAGCCGAUGAAGGACGGGACUAACACCGAUAUGCUUUGGGGAGCUGUACGUAAGCUAUGAUCCAGAGAUUUCCGAAUGGGGGAACCCAACAUCUUUAAUAGGAUGUUACGAUUGUGUGAAUACAUAGCACAUUCGAGGUAGACGCAGAGAACUGAAACAUCUAAGUACCUGCAGGAAGAGAAAGAAAAUUCGAUUCCCUGAGUAGCGGCGAGCGAAACGGGAAAAGCCCAAACCAGCAAGCUUGCUUGUUGGGGUUGUAGGACUCCAAUAUGGUAGUUCUUUCAGAUAGUCGAAUGACUUGGAAAAGUCAGUCAAAGAGGGUAAAAACCCCGUAGACGAAAUGUGGAAGACACCUAGGAGGAUCCUGAGUACGGCGGAACACGAGAAAUUCCGUCGGAAUCCGGGAGGACCAUCUCCCAAGGCUAAAUACUCCCUAGUGACCGAUAGUGAACCAGUACCGUGAGGGAAAGGUGAAAAGCACCCCGGAAGGGGAGUGAAAUAGAACCUGAAACCGUGUGCCUACAACAAGUCAAAGCCCGUUAAUGGGUGAUGGCGUGCCUUUUGUAGAAUGAACCGGCGAGUUACGAUUGCAUGCGAGGUUAAGUUGAAGAGACGGAGCCGCAGCGAAAGCGAGUCUGAAUAGGGCG